rnacentral:lncRNA from 1 species
CUCUAAUUCCAUAGGUCUGUGGCUGUGUAAGACGAGGAGGAGACAGAGAGAGGGCUGUUUCUCUUUCUUCCAUGAGAAGACACAGUGAGUAGGAAUCCAGAAAGAGGGCUCUCACCAGAACCUGAUCGGAUCAGAUGCUGGCACCCUGAUCUCAGCCGCCAGCACUGGGAGAAAAUAAGUUCUGUUGGAUAGGCCAGCCAGUCUGCCUUGUUUUGUUGCGGCAGCCCAAGCUGACUAAGACAAAUGCUAAGGAUAUGUGAGUUUGUCGAACCCAGGGCCCCUUAUGGCUUCCAGUCUCAGACUACUUGUGAAUGAAGAUAUUUACAUUUAGGUACAGGUUUUGGGGUGCCAUAGUUUUAUCUAAUUAGACAUUCUGAUAGGUAUAUAAAAUUUUGGUCAAGGGACUUAUGUUAUAAGGGAAAACAUUUUUGCUCCUUGGAGCUCAAUUUUUAUCCAUAAAACUUUAUGAUAUUAAAAUCUAGAUUUUUUUUUUUUUAAGACUCAUAGAAAGUAGAAGACACUUGAUUGUGAAUGUUUCUAACCAUUUUUAUUUGUCUUUGGAGUCACCUCUCAAGUUUUUGGAAAUAUGCUAUCAGUGUAGCAGCUUAGCUCAAGCAUUUACCAAUCUGUGAAGUUUUCUCCUCUAGGUAGUGGGAAGCUGCCCUGGCACCCUCUCUACUCCUACAAAGAGCAAAUAGCUUUUUGGGCUGACACUCAGCUUUUGCAUUAGGAAUGAACCUCUUUCUCAGUCUUCAGAUAUCUUGAAUUACACCUUUGACUUUCAAAUGUAUUCCCAGGUACCUGGAAAGUAAGAGUUAAGAGAGGCUGUAAUUAAUUAUUAAAUAAUCAACAAUAAAUAAGCAAAUGAGUAUUUAAAUACAAUAUAGGCUGCAAAUAAGGGAAAUUGAUAACCAAAGCCUUAAUUAAAGAGAAUAAAUACUGUCAGUUAACUUGAAAGAGAUAUUUUCCAAAUAAGCUACAAAUUGGAUAAUUAGGAGUUGAUAAUGAUAGAUUUUCCCUCACUAAUCUCUUUUUGCUUACCUCCUUUUAUGUGCUAAGCCUAAAGUAAAACAGUGUCCUUGAGCAGAAACAAAAAGAAUUGCUUUCCUUUAGUAUUAUUUUUAGGGACUGCUAGUUCAUUCUGACUCACAAGCACAUAAAGUGUUAUCAGAUAAAAAUAAAACGUAAAUUUUAAAUCUACUUUUUCAUAUUUCUGAUAGUAGCAUGGGGGGAUGGUGUUUGUUCUGUCUACCAAUAUAGACUUCUAGAAGCAGGAAUUAAGUCCAUUAAAGCUUCUAGUAUAUUUAGGGUAUAACCAUAAUAUAUCUAACACAAUCACCAAUGUGUUGACGGUAACAUUUCAUAGAAAAAUAGAAUAUUUCUGAGCAUUGUUUUUGAUAUUUGAGGGACAGUGGUACAUAUUUCAAAUAUUACUGUCUCUUCUUUUUAUUGUUUGUAGAUUUUCUUUGAUAAAAGCCCAAUCUAAUCCAGAGUUCUCCAUCCCAUUUUAAUCUUGCCUGUUUAUGUUAUUUCUGAAUUGGAAAAAUUUCGUUAAAUGUGAAUUGAGUAAAUAACAACAUCAAAAACAACUAAUACUUACUGAUAGCCUAGCACGGACCUAAGUUCUGCUUUUAGUCCUUUUCAUGUAGUAGGUAUAUUAAUCCUUUGAUCCUCACAUUCCGUGAACAAUGAAAUUGAGUCUUUUUUUUUUUUCUUUUUUGGACACCCAGUGGCAUGUAGAGUUCACGGGCCAGGGAUCAGAUCCGAGCUGCAGUUGCAACCUCAGCUGUAGCUGUAGCAAUGCCAGGUAUUUAACCCACUGUGUGGGGCCAGGAUUGGACCUGGUCCCAGCACUUCCAAGACGCUGCCAAUCCCGUUGCACCACAGCAGGAACUCCAAAAUUGAGUCUUACAAGUCAUUGCUGAAGGUCAUAAAGACGUCAAGAGUUAAACCCAAGCUUAUCUUAUUAUGGAGCAAAGAUGUUCCUCAUUUUGUCUUAUUAGUUUUUUAUAUUACUUUAGAAACAAGACACUAAAAUAAAUAUUAUGCACUGUGGAUUCAGUACAUACAUAACCUCAGGGAAAAAUUAAUUCUAGAUCAUAUUUCAUCACCAACCAGCAAGUAUGUAGAAUCUGUCAAAUUAAAACUAGGUGGUCAAAUUAUUUUUCUUUUCAAGUGUUACCUGUAACCCAUUUAAAAUUUUCCUUGGUGCUUUAUAAGAAAAGGGGGCUUUUUUCCUAAAUAAUUAACCUGUAGUUUUUCAGCCUGCUCUGGCUUUUCUCCUUCCUCCCCCCAGGCCACCACAAUAUUCCCAUGGUCAGUGGACAAUAGUUUUCAUCAUGCCAACACUUUCUAGUACUCAUUACUGAGGAUCAUUUUCUGUACUUGAUGCUGACAUGUUCCCCUUUUAAAAUUUUCAUGAUGAAGUUUUAUUUUAAUUUCUAUUUGUGAAAAGAUAGAGUCCUGUGCGUGUGUAUGUAUGUCUCUGUGUAUGUGUCUGUGUGUGUUGAGGUCGUUUGAUGAAACAGGUGUUUGUUUUGUUUCAUUUUAAUCUUCUUCAUGUUAUUAGUUUACUAGUAAACACUACCUGCCUAGGACUUAAUUACAUCAUUUUUAUUCUUAAUUUCUUAUUUCUAUAAAGUACCUAUGAGGGUUUUGGGAGGUAACCCAAAGUAGCACAUAUUCUGCUUACGAAUUUGAAGAGGCUGCAUACCACUUGAUGUAUAAGACCCUUUAUUUAAUCAUAUGUCAGUAGUUUUGCUCUUUAGAUGUAUGAGACUGAAAUGAGGUUAGGGUGCUCUAUAACAGAACAGGAAGAAAAACGGAUGGGGUUAGUAAAAUUAGGCACUUUAACAAGGGCUUGGAAAGAGCUAGAUCUGAACUGGGAAUCCGACCGAGGCACAUAGUAAAGAGAAAACAAAUCUUUUGUUCAAUUUUAAAUCGCUGGAUUUGUAACACUUUUUUGGCAUAAAUCAAUUUGAUAUCUAAUUCACAGACACUGUUGGAUAGCAUAGCGAUUGAAGCCAGGGUAGAUGGAAGUUAAAUCUAGUAUUUCCUUUUUGCUUCAUUGUAACUGUAUCUUUUCUACAAAGGUCAGUGAUAGCAAUUUCAUUUUGAGACUGUAAUUUAGAAGGUAAAAAAAAAAAUCAAAUGAAACCUACAAAUGUCACUUUCCUUGUUCGCAUUUUGCCUCAAAGUCUUGGAGAGUGAGAAAUAUUAGGUUUUUAUUUUAAUCAUUUGGAUGAUUGUGGACUAAUGGUGUCCAGUAUAUUUAAGCACCCACUGGUGAAUUAUUUAUCUCAAAGAACUCUAGUACAUGAAAUAAAUAUAAAAGCUAAAUUCCAUUACAUACUUACAAUGAGCCAGGCACUGUUCUAAGCACUUUAUAUGUAUUAUCUCCUUUAAUUAACAGAAUAGCCUACUAUGUUAAGAACGGUUAUGAUAGUUAACUCACAGACCAGGAACUUGAAGGUUAAAGGAAUUAAGCAUGCAGUAACUUAACUAAGGCUCCAUAGAUAAUAAGUAGUAGAUUCGGAGUUAAUUCCACCCAAUACUGCUAAUGUAAGCAGGUAAAUGUACAGAUCCUUGCAGUGAUGAGCGAACUGAGGCAAGACCUUGGAUGCCACUGGCUAGAUCUGCCUUUUGACCCUCAAAGUAUUUCCUAAGGAAAUUCUAGGGGUCCUCAUCUCUACUGUAUUUAAAAAAAAAAUCUGAAUUUCCAUUCCAGGUGCUUGACUAAGUGCUGUUGGAACUUCUCUCCCUAUCAAGUAUCAACUAAGAUGGUUUUAAAGGAAGACAAAUGACAUAAAACAUACCACCACCUUCAUUCAUCCAGUUUCUCAUGCCACAACCCAAAGAGCAUCAAAAAUGCUCCUCUUGCUUUCACACUGUCACAUCUGAUCCAUCAAUAAGUUCAAUGUUUUUCGGAGUUCCCAUCGUGGCUCAGCGGAAAUGAAUCCAACUAGGAACCAUGAGGUUGUGGGUUUGAUCCCUGGCCUUGCUCAGUGGGUUAAGGAUCCGGCAUUACCGUGAGCUGUGUAGGUUGCAGAUGCGGCUCGGAUCUGGUGUUGCUCUGGCUCUGGCAUAGGCCGGGGGCUAUAGCUCUGUUUAGACCCCUAGCCUGGGAACCUCCAUAUGCC